AUUUGAUAGCCACUGUGGAGGCCAACCUCCCAGAUGGCCCCCAAUGAACCCUGCUUCCUGAUACCCACACCCUUGUGUAGUCGGUCCCCUUCCACACUGGACCAAGGUUGGUCUGUGUGGCCCAUAGCCUACAGCAGAGGUGAUAGUAUUUCACUUCCAAGGUUAGGUUGUAACAGACUUGUCUUCCAUCUAGCAUUCUCUCUUGCUUGCUUACUUGCUUACUCUCUUUUGAAUCACUUACUGGGAGAAGCCACUUUCAUUUUAUGAGAACAUUCAGGAAGCCUAUGGAGAGGCCCACGGAAAUAGAGGUAACCAGCCCACAGCCAGCAAGUAACUGAGACCUGCCAAAAUCUAGAUGAAUGAACUUGGAAGUGAAUUUUCCAGCCCUAGGCGACCUUUGAGAUGACUGCAAUCCCCAGACCCAACAUCUUGACUGCAACAUCGUGAGAGCCCCUGAGCCAGAACCACCCAACUAAGCCGUUCCCUGAUUGCUGACCCUCAGAAACAGGGAGACGAUAAUGAACAAAUCUGAGUGAAGUCAGCACUUCAAGAAGUUUGAGUCAAUCCACAACUCUCCAUCAGACAACAGACCCCACUUACCGGAAUAUGACUAUAUACAAAGUCACGUACCAAGAAUUCUGUUUUCCAAGGUAUCCUUGUCUUUAUCACAGAAUUAUUUGUAGUGGCUAACCUGGACACUGAGCAAAGGCAUCAUAUCUCCUAUAUCAUAUGCCAUACAAAAUAUGGAGCUGUGUUUGUUUUUUUCCUUCUUAAAUCCCUUUCUCUCUCCCUUGAGAUCUCAGAGUAAUUGAACCAUGUGAAUAAAUGAAUAUAGAGAGUAGAUUGGAUAAAGAGAAAAAAAUGGAAACUUGUGCUGGUUUGAAAUUACCUCAGGUCUGAAGUGACCAAAAGUCAUCACUCUUGGGUUGACAGGCCCCAG
rnacentral:lncRNA from 1 species